rnacentral:rRNA from 1 species
ACGCACGCUGGCGGCAUGCCUAACACAUGCAAGUCGAACGAGACCUUCGGGUCUAGUGGCGCACGGGUGCGUAACGCGUGGGAACCUGCCCUUAGGUUCGGAAUAACUCCCCGAAAGGGGUGCUAAUACCGGAUAAUGUCUUCGGACCAAAGAUUUAUCGCCUUUGGAUGGGCCCGCGUUGGAUUAGCUAGUUGGUAGGGUAAAAGCCUACCAAGGCGACGAUCCAUAGCUGGUCUGAGAGGAUGAUCAGCCACACGGGGACUGAGACACGGCCCAGACUCGGAGGGGAGGCAGUGGGGGGGAAGAUUGGAGCACAGACGACGGCCUGAGGCAGCAGUGGGGAGUGAGUGACGGAGGGGUGAGGCUGGAACCGACCUUUGCGCGGGAGUGAUAACGGCAGGAGGGGGGGAAUGAGCUCUUGCCAACGCGGUGCCAGCCGCGUCGGAUAGAAGAAACGCACGCUCAUUCCG